UUGAACGGUGGUGCCUGUGUAGUGGUAAUCAAUAGUAGUCGGCAGGCACUGAGUCGUCACCACCACAACUCUCGAGCCAAGCAAAUAACCAGUCCAUUGUCGUUCAUAUGACUGGUGGCUAGGUAACAGAUUGACAUGGCACACACACGAGGAGAAACAUCCAGUGUUGAAUUAACCUUUUUCCCUGGCCCUAUAAACGCAUUUAUUUUUUUGGCCUAGUGGAAUCAUUUGGAAAUCCUUAAAAGAACAAUGUACCUAUUUUGAUUACACAAUCGUUUAUAUGGACUCGGGGUUCAUGGUCCACCAGUCGUUGUUGUGAACACAUUUGUAUGUUUGGACAAAAGCAACUCUGUGUCUCAGUUGUGUAUUGCUAUGGAAAGAAUCGAUUCCACGGUAGCUUGUGUUUGUGUGUUUGCCUCGCUAUCUCUCAUUCCAUAGGCACACACACGUUCGCCAUAUAUAUACUCCGCUGGGCCUGGAAUCCAUGCGUUUACCAAAGUGGUGUGGUCGCCGCUGUCAUCAUUGUUUGUCGACAUCACCUUAGUCACAAUGGUAGCUUUGCCUUUACCAAAUCACCCAAAUGUCAUGCAAGAGCAGUGGAGAAGAAUAUAUACGCAGUAGCUAGCUGUAGCUUCAAUUGCGAAGUGGUUGUGUUUCUUCGUUGUAGUGGUGGUGGCUGUGGUUGUUAGUUAGCACAAGCACAGCAAAACAGCUCGGAAACGAGUGACGAACUGCUUCUUACCUAAGCACGUUUACGUUUUGUAUGGGAUUUUUUUGUUGCUAGAUUUUGUGUUGUUGUUGUUGCUGUUUCGAGCAGCUUGGCUGCUAGUAUUCCACGUCCAUGUUAUCUCAUGGUGAACCUCAAUGUAGAUAUUACUAUUCUUGCCAUAUAGCUAGCUGGUUGCUUGGUUGUUCGUCGUUUGUUUGUUUUCGUACUCCGCCAUGCCUGAUGUUUUGUAUAUCUUCGAUUUUAUUUUUUGCUCUUAAUUAUCGUUUUUUGUUUUGGUAUUUUCAUUCGUUGAAGAGGCAAUGUGAUGCUGAUGACAUAUUACCACAUAACAACUGUAAAACUAUUGUGGUGACACUCAACCAAUCUGGCCAAAAUGUGUCAAUUCCAUAAGAGAGUCGCCAAUUCGGUUUUUGGAAUUUUCCAUAUCAUAACCUCAAAUGCUGGGGAGUUUUGAGACCAAAAGAUUGGCUUAGCGGCAGACAUUUUUUUUGUGUGACAAGGCACUGAGGAUAAUAAAUCAGAAAGAAGAGAUUUAAUUGCUGUGCGCUAUGUCUUCCAUGUGGAGCGUAUUCCUUUUGAGGUUAUGUUCCUACCACCAUAUGAACUUGAUGCUGAGUUUUAGAAUCACUUUUUGCUAGUUUUUAGUGACAAUUCGAAGAAGUCUCCCAAAGUCGUAUACCAUAAUUUCACCUGGAAUUGAAGUAAAGCCAAGAGAAGUUUGAAAAUAAUUUCUCCAGAAGAACUGGAAUCAUGGCUCUCCCAAAAUCGUACACCAUGAUUUCACCUGGAGUUGAAGUAAAACCAAGAGAAGUUUGAAAAUAACUUCGCGACAAGAACUGAAAUCAUGGCUACAAAUUUUCAUGGCAAAAUAUAUAUCCGAAAAAGAAUUGGGCAUAGAAGGAGAUUUUUGGUUAAUGAUGAUAAAUAAUUUACAUGACCAAUCCCUAGGAAAUGUUCCAUCAAUGUUUUUAUUGGGAUAACACAUCAGUGCCCUAAAACAAGUAAAGACCUAACCAUGUUGAAUAAAAAAACUAAAUCCAUUUUAAGAUCUA